rnacentral:snRNA from 1 species
AUACUUACCUGGCAGGGGAAAUACUGUGACCACUAAAGUGGUUUUCCUAGUCACUGGGGAUAACUGCUUUUCUGGCAUGGGGUAGUAUCCGCAGAGGUAAUGUAUAGUUACCUU